UACGUAGGUGGCAAGCGUUGUCCGGAUUUACUGGGCGUAAAGCGCGCGCAGGCGGGCUGGUCAGUCCGGGGUGAAAUCUCACGGCUCAACCGUGAGCGGUCCCCGGAUACUGCCAGUCUUGAGGUGUCUAGAGGAGAGCGGAAUUCCCGGUGUAGUGGUGGAAUGCGUAGAUAUCGGGAAGAACACCAACGGCGAAAGCACUCUGCUGGGCCGACACUGACACUGAGAGACGAAAGCUAGGGGAGCGAAUGGG
rnacentral:rRNA from 1 species